rnacentral:rRNA from 1 species
UACAGAGACUGCAAGCGUUAUUCGGAUUCACUGGGCGGAAAGGGUGCGCAGGCGGCCAAGUGUGUGAGGCGUGAAAGCCCGGGGCUUAACCCCGGAAUUGCACCUCAAACUACAUGGCUAGAGCAUUGGAGAGGGUAGCAGAAUUCAUGGUGUAGCAGUGAAAUGCGUAGAUAUCAUGAGGAAUACCAGAGGCGAAGGCGGCUACCUGGACAAUUGCUGACGCUCAGGCACGAAAGCGUGGGGAGCAAAAGGG